rnacentral:lncRNA from 1 species
GUCAUUUCUGGUGUGCUGAUGCAGACACAAGGUGCAGACACAUCUUGAGAAUGGAGGGCAUAGGCUGUAUCUCUGCUCUUCUUCUUGAGACAAUGCAAAGCAAGGUCAGGCAUGGAAGCACUUAUUGCCCCCUUUUGGCCUGACAGUGUCAGGGCAGAAGUCCUAUGCUAUCCUAGGGCUGGAUAUGGAGGAGGCCAAAGUUGGGGUCACUCUCCAGUCUCUUUUGUGGAAGAAGAGAAUAAAGGGGUGUAUUCAUGAUAGGUGUGGCAUAGGUCACGGAUCUCAGGGCUGAUGUAAGUCUUAGAUCCAUGCUCAAAUGUCUUCUGUCCCUUUUCUUGUGAAUUUUUAUUUGUCCACAUCAUUUUGCUAAAUUUUUCUUUUUUAUGGAAUGCAAUGCCUUGAAAAUAUAGAAUUCCAUCCUCAGAACCUGGCUAUAAUGUGAGAAUCUGGAUAGAUCACAGUCGAGAUAUUUACUCACAUUUCUUUUACCCAAAAAUGUCAAUAUUUUGAAUGGAGGGCUUCUUUUACGGAAACGCUGUGGGUCUGCAGAAUUAAGUUUUCAUUGGUUAACAGAAGUGAGUUGCAAUGUCAUAGGUCGCUGUGACAAUCUAUUUCUCCAUUCCUUUCAUGCUGCUUGCUCUGAAGUGGUGGGACCCUGUGGUGAUAAAAUAAAGUAACCUGCACAGACUCGCCACAUGUGCCUCCUGGUUCACCUAAUGUGAGCUCUGAGGCAUGAAAUCCUAGGUCUCAUUCUGCAACUUCAGUAAGGGGCGGGGUCUGCCUUGAUGGUCAGGUGAGAUCUAUAAAUUUCACAUUAUCAUCUCCAUCUUUUCAGAUAUUCUUGCAUUUUAUAUCUGAAUGGAGAAGGUCAAGGGCAUGGUACUACUUUAUGGCUGCCACAAUUGCUGAAAAUAUUUUCUUUGCCUCUUUUUCCUGGUUGGACCCUUCUCCAUUAUUAGGUCAAGGAGUCCCCUGCUGGGGCACACUCAGUAUCUUCAUGGACCCCUUUGAUGUUAGUAGGCCCUAGAAGAGGCUAAUGCUGUUACGAUGGUAUAGGGAAGAAUGUGAACAAUGCGGUGCUCACUCCCAUACUUUCUUACCCAUUCAUGGGGUUCUGUAUCCUGCCUCUUUCACAGGACCCAUAUUCUUGAAAGUUAUAUAGUAGGGUUUGGUCUCAGAGAUUCCUUGAUGUAACAGAUCCUUGACAGGAAAUCCCUCCUUUUCUUGCCCAGUCCCUUGAAUCACCCCAUUCUGUAGGUGUUAAUAAGGGUUCUUUGUGCAAGUAUUCUUUAGAUGGCAGGGGCACUUCCUCCUCUGGUGUGCAGACACAUGGGGCAGACCUCUGUUGAGCAUGAAGGGCACAGGCAGUAUCUCUGCUCAUCUUGGGACAAUGUAAAGCAAUGGCAGGCAUGGAAGCACUUCUUCCCACACUGUGGCCUCAAUGUGUCAGGGCAGCAGGCCCAUGUUCUCCAAGGGCUGGACUCCAAAGUUGGGGUCACUCUCCAGUCUCUUUGCUGGAAGAAGAGAAUAAAAAGAUGUGCUCAUGAUAGGUGUGGCAUAGGGCAUGGAUCCCCAGUCAUGAUAGAAGUAUUAGAUCCAUGUUCAAGUACCUCCUGUACCUGUUCUUGUAUAUUUGAAUUUGUCCCCAUCUUUGGUAUAGUUUUAUUUUUUCAAGGAUACCAAUUUCAUGGAAAUAGAAAACUCCAUGCCUCAGUGCAUGUCUACAAUGUGAGAUUCUGGAUAGAUCACAGUCGAGAUACUUACUUCACAUUUCAUUUAAUUACACAAGAAUCUUUCUUAAUGCUUUGAAUGGAGGGCCUCAUCUUUUUCCAAACUGUGAGGAUCUGGAGAUUCAGAUUUCAAGUUGCCAGUAGAAGUGAGGUUUAAUGUUAUAGACUCCUGUGACAAUCGUCUUCUCCAUCUCUUUCAUGGUGACUCCAGCAAAGGGAUGGGUCCCUGUGGUGAUAAAAUAAAGGAGCACGCUUAGACUUUACCCAUCUGCCUCCUUGCCAUUACAUGUCUCACCUAAUGUGAACUCUGAAGCAUAAAAUGCCUUGGUCCUGUGCUGCCUUUUCAGUAAGAUGUGCAGUGCAACGAGGUUCAGGACAUGCCUGUUUUAUUUCGAAUCAAGCUCUGAAUCUCUGAGGACAAUCUGGUGCUUUAUAUCUGGAUGUCAAGGUUCUGGCAGUACGUAAUGGCUUCAACUAUUUGCAGAAAUAUUUCUUUGCCUCUUUUUCCUGCUUGGGUCCUUCUCCAUUUUUAGGUCAGGAUGUCCCCUGCUGGAGCACACUCAGUAUCUACAUGGACCCCCUUUGGCAUUAGUAGGUCCUAGAAGAGGCUAAUGGGUGUAGCAUGGUAUAGUGAAGAAGGUCAAGAAGUGAUGCACCAUCCCGUACUUGCCUAGAAACUCAUGGGUUCUGGGUCCUGCUUCUUUCACAGGACCCAUAUUUUUGAAAGUUAUAUAGUAGGCUUUCAUCUUCAGAGACUCCUUAACACAACAGAUUCUUGACAGGAAAACCCUGAUACUCUUGUCUAGUCCCUUGAAGCACUCAAUCCUCUGAGGCUUUACUUAGAGCUCCUUGUCUAAGAAUUCCUUAGAUCGCAGGGGCAUUUGCUCUUCUGGUAUGCUGAUGCAGACUUAGUGGGUAGACACAUCUCCAGAAUGGAGGGCACAGGCAGUCUCUGUGCUCCUCUUCUUGGGACACUGUAAUGUAGUGGCAGGCAUGGAAGCACUUCUUGCCACUACUGGCCUUAUUGUGUCAGGGCAGGAGGCCCAUGCUCUCCUAGGGCUGGAUAUGGAUGAGGCCAAAGUUGGGGUUACUCUCCUUUCUCUUUGGUGGAGGAAGAGAAUAAAGGGAUGUGCUCAUGAUUUGGGUGGCAUAGGGCAUGUAAGCCCAGUAAUGACAAAAGUCUUAGACCCAUGCUCAAGUGCCCUCUGUUCCUGUUCUUUUAAAUUUAAAUAUGUCCCCCAUCAUUUUGCUGUAGUUUUACUUGUUCAAGGAUUUAAUUUCUUGCAACUAUAAAAUUCCAUACCUCAGAGCAUGUCUACAGUUUGAGAAUCUGGAUAGGUGACAGUCGAGCUAAGUACUUCACAUUUCCUCUCAUUACACAAAAAUGUCUCAAUGUUCUCAAUGGAGGGCCUUAUUUCUGGGUAAACUGUAAGAAUUUGGUGGAUCAGGUUUCUGGUUGCCAGAAGUGAGUUGCAAUGUCAUAGGUCUCUGUGACAAUCUAUUUCUGAUCUCUUUCGUGGUCCUUCCACUGAAGAAAGGGGACCCUGUGGUGAUAUAAUGGAGUAGCAUGUCCACACUCUACCCUUCUGCCUCCUUGCCAUCCUGUGGUUCCCGUAGUAUCAGUUCUGGAGCAUAAAAUCCUUGGUCCUCUGCUGCCAUUUCAGUGAGGGGCAGUGUCUGCGGUGAUGGGCUGGUGACGUCUAUGAUUUUACAUAAUCCACUGCAUCUUUUUGGGUAUUCUCGAAUUUUAUGCCUGGAUGGACAAGUUCAAUUUUUGUGGCAGUACUUUAUUGAUGCCCAUAUGUGUCCAAAUAUUUUCUUUGGCUCUGCCUUCUGCAACAUGCCCCCUUCCACUAUUUGGUCAAAGGCGUUUCCUUCUGGCGCAUUCUCAGAAAGUAGAUGGAUCUUCUCUGAUGUUCCUAGAACCUAUUAGAAGCUCUUGAUAUUAGAAUGGUAUAGUGUUUCCACUGUUGGUAUUUGUGACUGGAUCCUUCCAAUGAGAUAUUUCAUGACCUCUACAGUUUUAUGAUCACUAAGGCCUGUGUUUUUGUGUUGCAGGCUGGAUUCAUGGUCUCAAAUGCACGCUGGUCAUUUGGGAAAAGUAUCAUGUAAUGAUUCCUGAGUUGUUUUUUUUUCCUGUGGUGCUGGCCCUAAGGCUAGGUUUCUUGGAUGGUUCCUGACAGUACUUUACACAAUUUAAGGCUUGCAUCCCCACCUUCUUCCUGAUCUAUUAAUUUUUCAAUUAUGUAUGUUCUCAUCAUUGAACUUUGCUCGUUUGUCAGACAGGGUCGCUCAGAACUCGACAUAACUUAGAUUCCAUCAGAUACUCCCAUAUCUACCACAAAUAUCUCCAAGACACUACCUGACAUACCCUUACCUAACUUUAUAAGAAACUGGGGAUAAUUCUACCCUGAUAUAAUUAUACUGAAUUUUCCUAUCUUCUACUGUUCUCACACUUCAUCUGAAUGGUUUUGAGAGAUGUCAAUUUUGAGAUAUUGGUUCUGGGCCCCAAGACUAUUUUUCUUCCAGUUAAGAAUUUUAGAAGAAGUCAGGGAAGCACUUGCCCAGAGGUAUUCUACAUUCUGGGAGAAAGGCAGUUUGCGAGGGAUGCCCUCUAUUUGGACAGGAAUGUAAUUGGAGAUAGACAGUCUAUUUACAAAAAAGAAAGGCAGUUGACAACAGAUUCCAUAUGUACAGGGAGGUAGGCAGUUGGAAAGAGAUGCUCACCGUACAAUAAAAGGCAUUUGGAGAGAAAUGCCAGUGUACAGAUGAGAUGGCGGUUGGUGUCAAUUUUGGAUAUUCCGCAGCUCUUCUCACAAAUGUCUAGAGUUGACACUUGGAUUGUCGCUAAGUUUGUCUCACUAAUGGAGGCAUCAACCAAGGAGAUGGGAAAAUACCUGUGGAGAGAACUGCCACAUAGUAGAAGACUUACUUCCAAUUUUAGUAGUUAUGUGCCCUCUGUAUUCAGAUAUUCCUAAAUUAACCCAACUAAUACACAUAACCUUCUCUAGAAAUCCUUUCAUGUUCCUGUAGAAUGUUUUCCAUUAGCCAGACACUGGGACCCCUGAAGACCUCAGGGAAUAUACAGGUCUGAUUUUCCUUGCCUAAGUUUAAGGGACUCAAAAUGUAUUGAGUAACUUUCACUGACAAUUCUGACCACUCAUUUCCAAACAUUUGAAUAUAUGAACCGACUCUUUAUGGAACCAUAAUAUAAAAGAUGUUCAUUUUGAACCACAUCCCCCCUAGGCAGGCUGGGGCCUCCCUUACUCCAGCAGAAAUAGGCUUGAGGGGUUACUGGACAAGGCAACAUCUAGUGCUCCUGUUCUCCAUGGGGCCAAGUGGCUUCAUCCUUUAUGGAGCAUGAGCUGAGGCCACAGUAUCUCAGCUCCACGUCUCAGGUUACUGCCUUACCUACUCCACCCCAGUGUACUUUACGUAGCCUUGUUAGAACUGAGAACGGAGAGACACAACAGUAAAGAAUGGCAACUGCAGACCUCAGCCCCUGUGAACAGGGCCCAUUAGGAAUAGAAGGGUAAACUUGGUGGACAGACACAGAUGGCUCAGCAGAGUGUUUACUUUCCUCCUGCCAUUUCGGUCACAGUGAAGAGAAGGUGACUGAGGGAGGACAACAACAGGGAUAUUUCUCAACAACAACAACAACAACAACAACAACAACGACAACAACAACAACAACAACAUCAACAACAACAACGACCUCGACAACAACAACAAGUGACUUUGUGAUAGGCAGAGGACUCUGAAAGUAUGGCAAGACCUGUCUGCUGAGGCUAGGGUACAUGUAAUGGCUCUGGCAUCUUCUCAGCUGGCUGAAGAAACAGGACAUGGUUAAUUGAGGAGAGAACAGAGUUCAUGCAAGAAAGAUCC